rnacentral:piRNA from 1 species
UGGCCUCAUGGAAAAAAUAGCAACCAGAAA